UUAUGUCGUUGAUGCUCAUUAUACUUAUUUUAUCUAUUAGAUCAACUCUUUGCUGCUAGAAGUGGAUUUUUUCACAAUGUGUUUUAUAGGGUCCACUUAGAAUUCCUCAGGAGAGCCUGAGAUGUCUGAAGGAAGAACGCCAUGAGCUGGAAGAGAAAUUGAGCAAGAUGAACCGCACCCAGAGUCUUACUCAGGCCUCUGGAGGACAAGGAACAGGAUCUGAGGGAGCAUCUGGACUCUCAAAGUGAAGGUUGGCAGCAACAGGCAGGUUUGCAUGUUUCGGAGAGCUGUAGC